rnacentral:tRNA from 1 species
UGUGGUUUUAACUCAGAGGUGAAGCACUUGCCUAGAAAGCAUGAGGCCCUCCGUUCAAUCCCCAGCACCACAC